GACUGAGAGUCUUGUUUCUGAUUCCAAGUUAUGCAUGCUUACACACAUUAAUUCUGUCACCUGGAUCAUAGAUUCAGGGGCAUCUAAUCAUAUGACAUGAUAAAAACUUACUCUUUAACAUCAUGCCUUUGACUGUUCCUUAUCUUGUAACUUUGCCUAAUGGUUACAAAGUGAAAGUAACUUGUACAGGUUCUUUUGCAUUAACUCCAUUCAUUACUCUUCACAAUGUACUGCUGGUCCCUUCCUUUAAACAUAACUUGAUUUCUGUCCACAAGUUAGUAAAACAGUUGCACUGUAUAGUUUUGUUUACUCCAACUUCCUGUUUACUCCACAUGAUACAGGACCCUUCUCUGAAGAGGCUUCUGGAUCUUGGUAAAGAGGAAGCUGGCCUAUACAAACUGUCUUGGAUGCCACCUUCCCCUUCUUCCUCUACUGGUUCUUCAUCUACUUCUGUAUGUGCUUUGUCUGAUUUUUGUAAUGAUGACAAUGUGUCUGAACUGUCUUGGGUGCCACCUUCCCCUUCUUCCUCUACUGGCUGUUCAUCUACUUCUGUAUGUGAUUUGUCAGAUUCUUGUAAUGAUGACAAUGUGUCUGACAGCAAGGAUGUUGCCUUGCCUUCAACUGUGCACAAUUCCAUUUGUAAUAAUGUUGUUACAACUGAUAUGAAUUACAUUUGGCAUUUAAGACUAGCACAUACUUCCUUUGCAAAUAUGAGACAUAUUUCUUGUUUGUCUUUUCCAUUUGCUUCUAAACAACCUUUUCCUCGUUCUGUCUGUCCUAUGGCCAAACAAACCAGACUCCCUUUUCCUGAUAGCAGUAUCAGUACUACUAGGCCUUUUCAAUUGAUACAUGUGGAUAAUUGGGGACCUUAACAUACUUCUACUUCAUCUGGUUGUAGAUAUUUCCUUACAACAGUUGAUGAUUUCUCUAGGGCAACCUGGACACACUUAAUGUGCUCUAGUUUCUGGUUUGUCUUUUCCAUUUGCUUCUAAACAACCUUUUCCUUGUUCUGUCUGUCCUACGGCCAAACAAACUAGACUCCCUUUUCCUGAUAGAAGUAUCAGUACUACUAGGCCUUUUCAAUUGAUACAUGUGGAUACUUGGGGACCUUACCAUACUNNNNNNNNNNNNNNNNNNNNNNNNNNNNNNNNNNNNNNNNNNNNNNNNNNNCUACUUCUUCUGGUUGUAGAUAUUUUCUUACAAUAGUUGAUGAUUUCUCUAGGGCAACCUGGACACACUUAAUGGGCUCUAAAAGCAAUGCCUUCUCCUUGCUUAAAUCUUUCAUCUGUUUGGUUAAAACUCAGUUUAAUACUGUGGUUCAAACUGUUAGAAGUGACAAUGCUUUAGAAUUGGGGCCUAGCAUUGAGGGUAUAUCUUUCUUUAAUAGCCAGGGGAUUAUUCAUCAAACCUCCUGCCCUCAUUCACCUCAAUAGAAUGGUGUUGUUGAAAGAAAGCAUAGAACCCUUCUUGAAACAUGUAGCGCCAUACUUUAUCAAUCUAGACUACCUGUGUCUUUCUGGGGGGAUUAUCUGUUGACUGCUACUUAUCUCCUUAACAGAAUACCAUCCAGAUUACUUCACAAUAAGUCUCCCAAUGAAAUGUUGUAUGGGAAAGCUCCAUCCUAUUCUCAUUCGAGGGCAUUUGGGUGCCUUGCUUAUGCUACUGUCCACAUUCCUCAAAGGAACAAGUUAAAGCCUAGAGCCUUCUCUUGUGUUUUUCUGGGUUACCCAUUUGCCAAAAAGGGUUAUAAACUGUAUGAUCUGGCAUCCAAGAAAUGUUUUGUCUCCAGGGAUGUUAUAUUCCAUGAAACAUGUUUUCCUUUUAAGAAU
rnacentral:lncRNA from 1 species